rnacentral:misc_RNA from 1 species
UACGUAGGUGGCAAGCGUUGUCCGGAUUUAUUGGGCGUAAAGAGAACGUAGGCGGCCAUUUAAGUUUGGUCUUAAAGACCGGGGCUCAACCCCGGGAGUGGAUCGAAUACUGGGUGGCUAGAGGACGUCAGAGGAAGGUGGAAUUCCCAGUGUAGCGGUGAAAUGCGUAGAUAUUGGGAGGAACACCAGUGGCGAAAGCGACCUUCUGGGACGAUCCUGACGCUGAGGUUCGAAAGCUCGGGGAGCAAACAGG